rnacentral:rRNA from 1 species
AAGGCGGCGACGGGUAGCCGGCCUGAGAGGGUGUACGGCCACAUUGGGACUGAGAUACGGCCCAGACUCCUACGGGAGGCAGCAGUGGGGAAUAUUGCACAAUGGGCGCAAGCCUGAUGCAGCGACGCCGCGUGGGGGAUGAAGGCCUUCGGGUUGUAAACUCCUUUCGCUAGGGACGAAGCUUUGUGUGACGGUACCUAGAUAAGAAGCACCGGCUAACUACGUGCCAGCAGCCGCGGUAAUACGUAGGGUGCGAGCGUUGUCCGGAAUUACUGGGCGUAAAGAGCUCGUAGGUGGUUUGUCGCGUCGUCUGUGAAAUUCUGGGGCUUAACUCCGGGCGUGCAGGCGAUACGGGCAUAACUCGAGUGCUGUAGGGGUAACUGGAAUUCCUGGUGUAGCGGUGAAAUGCGCAGAUAUCAGGAGGAACACCGAUGGCGGAGGCAGGUUACUGGGCAGUUACUGACGCUGAGGAGCGAAAGC